ensembl:lncRNA
UUAAACCAUGCAAAAUGUAAAAAGAUUGACCCUGUUUAUUUCCCAUACAAACCCGAUGGUUUGAAUCUGAAGCUAUUCUAGCACUGGAAGAAUAAAUGCAACGGAUGCCUUUGGGGCUGCCCUGUCUGAGCCGGGCUGUGCCCGGUGAGCCGGUGCCACUGCUGCGCAGCACGCGCCGGCCUUGUUUUCCCACCAAAUAAAUAACAAGGGUGAAGAAUGCCCUUUACCCUUUGCUCAGUGAAUACCUCUUUCUGGUAAUUUCCCAAAAUUCCCACUGCCGCCAUGGUACUUUCUGUCCUUUGAACCAAAAAGCUGCUAAUGGUUCCCUGUGGCUGUUGGUCAGCCCCACUGCUAGACGUGGUGUUACAGCUCAGAGCCGCGGUGCACCCAUGGCCUUUCCAUUCUCACUGAGCUUUGAUCCGUUUCUGUGUGAGAUCACAGCAGCUUGCUGAGCCAGCAAAUAGUAUUUUUAAAUCAUUUUACAUUUGUUACUACUUUAAUAAUUUCACACGUGGUCUAAAAUGCUGAUCCGUAUUUUUGAUACACUUUUUAAUUCGAUAAAACUUCUGUAGGACUUAAUUAUAUUUUUGUAACUGGCAGGACAAUAUCCUGAUGUUUUCAAAUAAUAUAUUAUAAACAAGCAGUGCUUGUCUCACUUAAUGCUCUACGAGAAACUAAAGGAUGAAAAUAUUAUUAAAAGUAACUGGUAUCCUUAUUUUUUAUAUGUAAGCUUCGUUGAAGAAGUGGGUCUCUAACUCAAAUGUGUACUGACAUCUAAGUAUUAUUGCUUUAUACUGGGAUAAAUUGUCUUUUAUUGUACAUAAAAGGACUAAUAUAAACUGUGUAUUUAUAGUCAGAAUUUCUCUCUAUGAUAUGUCUGUCUUGGAAGAAUGUAUACAUAUGCUGACAUAUGCAGUAUUGGAAGGCAGUAACUACUGUGUAACUGUAAUCUUGUAAAAUGCCCUAUUCUAAGGAGGAAUUAUGUUGUUUUGUAAAUGGUUCUGUGUGUUUGGGAUCCUGCAGAGUAAGACAGUGAAGCCAGCUGAGUGCCACAUGGUACGUUUCUGCAAAAUGUUAAUCUAACAACUGGGAAGACCAACCUAUGUAAGUUAAAGGAUAAUAACAUAUAUAUUUACAAGAGAAGUCAAUAGUCAUACAGUUUUACUUGACUCGGAGUGGAUGGCUUUGAACAUUUUUAUUUGUAAAUAUUUUCUACUUCUUCAAUAGAAGUUGGAUUAAGUUCUCACCUUGUUGGCAUAAAAGAUGUUUUUCCAUUUGCUUUGCUGAUCGUGUACAGGAAAUGAGGUGACUGAAUUUAAUGUAAGUAAAUAAAGAAAAGUGGCUUCUGGUAAUAAAUCAGUUGUGCAAUAAUGCAUCCUGUCAAGGAGCUGUAACUGAAUAUUGACACCGAAUGAUGGUAUUCUGUAAAGCAGUUACGUGAGAAGAGGGAGAAAAAUCCUUCGAGUAGCCAUUAGUUCCAUUCAGUUCGGCAGAACCAGAUUUUGAUACCUUCACUCUUCCAAGCUUUUUCUUUGCAAAAGUAUAUAUUCUAUACAUGCACAUAAUUUAUAGGAUUUUCAUAUCUUAAAAAAAAUUUGUUUGCAAUAAACUUUAUUCAAAUGAG